rnacentral:rRNA from 1 species
CUGGCGGCGUGCUUAAUACAUGCAAGUCAACUUGACUUUAGAUAGCAAUAUCGAAAAGUAGGGUGGCGCACGGGUGCGUAACGCGUAGGUAAUCUGCCCUGAGGUCUGACAUAACCCGUCGAAAGGCGGGCUAACAUCAGAUGAUAUAUAGUCACGACAUCGUGGAAAUAUCAAAUCUUCGGAGCCUUGGGAUGAGCCUGCGUCUGAUUAGGUAGUUGGCGGAGUAAUAGCCCACCAAGCCUACGAUCAGUAGCUGGUCUGAGAGGAUGAUCAGCCACACUGGAACUGAGACACGGUCCAGACUCCUACGGGAGGCAGCAGUAAGGAAUAUUGCUCAAUGGGGGGAAACCCUGAAGCAGCAACGCCGCGUGAAGGAUGAAAUACUUUGUAUGUAAACUUCUGUAAGAUGGGAAAAAUAUUCUCCUCGGGAGAAUUGAUUGUACCAUCAGAGUAAGCCCCGGCUAACUACGUG